rnacentral:rRNA from 1 species
GAUGAACGCUAGCUACAGGCUUAACACAUGCAAGUCGAGGGACCGGCGCACGGGUGAGUAACACGUAUCCAACCUGCCCUUUACUCGGGGAUAGCCUUUCGAAAGAAAGAUUAAUACCCGAUAUAAAGGAUGGUGAUGCGUUCCAUUAGGUUGUUGGUGAGGUAACGGCCCACCAAGCCUUCGAUGGAUAGGGGUUCUGAGAGGAAGGUCCCACACAUUGGAACUGAAGCACGGUCCAAACGCCUACGGGAGGAAGCAGUAAGGAAUAUUGGUCAAUGGGCGCUAGCCUGAACCAGCCGAGUAGAGUGAAGGAUCAAGGCUUAUGGGUCGUAAACUUCUUUUAUAUAGGAAUAUGUAUUAUAUGAAUAAGGAUCGGCUAACUCCGUGCCAGCAGCCGCGGUAAUAC